rnacentral:misc_RNA from 1 species
GAUGAAGAACGUAGCGAAAUGGGAUAAGUAAUGUGAAUUGCAGAAUUCAGUGAAUCAUCGAAUCUUUGAACGCACAUUGCGCCCCUUGGUAUUCCGAGGGGCAUGCCUGUUCGAGCGUCAUAUUAACCACUCCCGCUUGCGGGGUCUUGGGCUUCGCCUCCGGGCGGGCCUUAAAAUCAGUGGCGGUGCCGUCGGGCUCUACGCGUAGUAAAUUUUCUCGCGAUAGGGUCCCGGUGGAUGCUUGCCAACAACCCCCAACUUCUUAAGGUUGACCUCGGAUCAGGUAGGGAUACCCGCUGAACUUAAGCAUAUCAAUAAGCGGAGGA